rnacentral:piRNA from 1 species
UGGAAAGUUGAGGUGUAAACUGUGUUGC